UCAUCUUCGGGGGUAGAGCACUGUUUCGGCUAGGGGGUCAUCCCGACUUACCAACCCGAUGCAAACUACGAAUACCGAAGAAUGUUAUCACGGGAGACACACGGCGGGUGCUAACGUCCGUCGUGAAGAGGGAAACAACCCAGACCGCCAGCUAAGGUCCCAAAGUCAUGGUUAAGUGGGAAACGAUGUGGGAAGGCACAGACAGCCAGGAUGUUGGCUUAGAAGCAGCCAUCAUUUAAAGAAAGCGUAAUAGCUCACUGGUCGAGUCGGCCUGCGCGGAAGAUGUAACGGGGCUAAACCAUGCACCGAAGCUGCGGCAGCGACACUAUGUGUUGUUGGGUAGGGGAGCGUUCUGUAAGCCUGCGAAGGUGACCUGUGAGGGUUGCUGGAGGUAUCAGAAGUGCGAAUGCUGACAUAAGUAACGAUAAAGCGGGUGAAAAGCCCGCUCGCCGGAAGACCA
rnacentral:rRNA from 1 species